rnacentral:sRNA from 1 species
UAUUGGUUGAUGUAAUCUUGAUGUAAUC